AUGUCAACAAAAGUUGAUUAUUUUCCUAAUAUCUCCAUUGCUUAUCAUAUCUCAUUUACUGUGCUUGUGACUAUCAUAGUGGCGGAAAAAAGCGUUUCAAUGUUGAAAUUAUUGAAGAACUAUCUGAGGUCAACAAUGGCUCGAGAGAGGUUAAAUGAUUUGAUAACAUUAUUACAUCGAGAGGAAAUUAUUGAAUGA
rnacentral:rRNA from 1 species